UGGCCUCUCUGAGAAAACAAGCAAAUAAGUUAAAACUUUCAACAACGGAUCUCUUGGUUCUGGCAUCGAUGAAGAACGCAGCGAAAUGCGAUAAGUAAUGUGAAUUGCAGAAUUCAGUGAAUCAUCGAAUCUUUGAACGCACAUUGCGCCCGCUAGUAUUCUAGCGGGCAUGCCUGUUCGAGCGUCAUUUCAACCCUCAAGCCCUGCUUGGUGUUGGGGCCCUACGGCUGCCGUAGGCCCUGAAAACUAGUGGCGGGCUCGCUAUAACUCCGAGCGUAGUAGUAAAAUAUCUCGCUAGGGAGGUGUCGCGGGUUCCGGCCGUGAAAGCCCCAUCUUUUACACAAGGUUGACCUCGGAUCAGGUAGGAAUACCCGCUGAACUUAAGCAUAUCAAUAAGCGGAGGAAAAGAAACCAACAGGGAUUGCCCCAGUAACGGCGAGUGAAGCGGCAACAGCUCAAAUUUGAAAUCUGGCCUCGGCCCGAGUUGUAAUUUGUAGAGGAUGCUUUUGGUGAGGUGCCUUGUGAGUUCCCUGGAACGGGACGCCAGAGAGGGUGAGAGCCCCGUAUACUUGGACACCGAGCCUCUGUAAAGCUCCUUCGACGAGUCGAGUAGUUUGGGAAUGCUGCUCAAAAUGGGAGGUAUAUCUCUUCUAAAGCUAAAUAUUGGCCAGAGACCGAUAGCGCACAAGUAGAGUGAUCGAAAGAUGAAAAGCACUUUGAAAAGAGGGUUAAAUAGUACGUGAAAUUGUUGAAAGGGAAGCGCUUGUGACCAGACUUGUGCCGGGCUGAUCAUCCAGUGUUCUCA
rnacentral:rRNA from 1 species